UCCAGCUGUAGGCAACUGCCUUGGUUACCUUGUACCUAGGCAAGUGUUCCACUGCUGGGGGAAAAGCAGCUAACAACUGGUGGGCAUUGUGGACCUGGUUAAUGCCAAAUUUGUGUUAACUGUACCACUGUGCCAGCAUAGUUGCCUAUUCUACUUAAACAAACAAAAAAGAAGAUAUGUGGGGAAGGCAGCAAUACUGGGCUUGGAUAUA
ensembl:snoRNA SNORA74 Small nucleolar RNA SNORA74